GAAGAGCAAGCACACAGGUCUUGACCCAAAAUCGAUCUGUGGGAAUUUGCUGCCUUCGCCUAACGUUCCAUCUUGGGGAAGCAAGCGGAAAUGAGAUACAGCAAGAGAUGCAAUAUACGGAUACCAUCUUUCACCCGGAGCCUUGGAAAAACACAGGUGCAGUUUGUUAUAAGACAUUACACUGCAGCUACAACAAAUGCAACACUACAGGGAAGACACCAACCCUGAUUUAUUGGAACAAAUCCAGCUUUAAAAUCAGGUCAUUCUCUGUGCAACUGAAACAUUUCAAAAGGUGCAUGGGAAGUACUACUGUUUGCUGGCACAGGCCACAGAAGCUGCAGGUUUCUUUUCUGCUACAUUAUGUGCUGCUUGCUUGCCCAGGCCUUUUCUGAUUUCUCCAGAUGAUUUUUCCAUACUCCACAUACUCAUGUUUUGUUUUACUCACAUCAGUGUUACAAUCAGCGCUUGCCAUCUCUAAUUCAUGUGGCUAUUAGGAUACAGAAGAACCCUGUGCUGGAUAUAUUAGAGUACCACGUGCACCAGCACCCAGAACGCAGGUAUCAUUGGCGACUUUUUGCUCGGAUGGCCAGAGAGGAUUACAUAAGCAUGCAGUGUUAAGCUGGCAGAAAACAAGGAAUUUCAAUAAAGAGAGAGGCAAGAAGAUCA
rnacentral:lncRNA from 1 species